rnacentral:rRNA from 1 species
GAGUUUGAUCCUGGCUCAGGAUGAACGCUAGCGGCAGGCCUAACACAUGCAAGUCGGGGGGUAACAUAGUAGCUUGCUACUGAUGACGACCGGCGCACGGGUGCGCACCGCGUAUGGAACCUACCUUUUACAGGGGAAUAGCCUUUGGAAACGAAGAUUAAUGCCCCAUAGUAUCCUUAUACAGCAUUGUAUUUUGAUUAAAGCCUUCGGGCGGUAGAAGAUGGCCAUGCGUCCCAUUAGUUUGUUGGUAAGGUAACGGCUUACCAAGACUACGAUGGGUAGGGGCCCUGAGAGGGGGAUCCCCCACACUGGUACUGAGACACGGACCAGACUCCUACGGGAGGCAGCAGUGAGGAAUAUUGGACAAUGGAGGAGACUCUAAUCCAGCCAUGCCGCGUGCAGGAAGAAUGCCCUAUGGGUAGUAAACUGCUUUUAUACAGGAAGAAAAAGAGCUACGUGUAGCUUAUUGACGGUACUGUAAGAAUAAGGACCGGCUAACUUCGUGCCAGCAGCCGC